rnacentral:rRNA from 1 species
CACGUAGGGGGCAAGCGUUGUCCGGAUUUAUUGGGCGUAAAGAGCUCGUAGGUGGUUCGGUAAGUCGGGUGUUAAACCCCCAGGCUCAACCUGGGGACGCCACUCGAUACUGCUGUGACUAGAGUCCGGUAGGGGAGCGUGGAAUUCCUGGUGUAGCGGUGAAAUGCGCAGAUAUCAGGAAGAACACCAAUGGCGAAGGCAGCUCUCUGGGACGGUACUGACGCUGAGACGCGAAAGCGUGGGGAGCGAACAGG